GCCACGGGUUCGAGCUAUUCAGGGAGUGGGCGUAUGGGGGCAUCCGUGGUGGGUGGAGAAGGGUAGGCAGGUACAGGUGGGGGGUCCAUUGGGUGUACGGCCAAGCAGGUACAGGUGGGGGGUCCAUUGGGUGUACGGCCAAGCAGGUACAGGUGGGGAGUCCAUUGGGUGUACGGCCAAGCAGGUACAGGUGGGGAGUCCAUUGGGUGUACGGCCAAGCAGGUACAGGUGGGGAGUCCAUUGGGUGUACGGCCAAGCAGGUACAGGUGGGGAGUCCAUUGGGUGUACGGCCAAGCAGGUACAGGUGGGGGGUCCAUUGGGUGUACGGCCAAGCAGGUACAGGUGGGGAGUCCAUUGGGUGUACGACCAAGCAGGUACAGGUGGGGGGUCCAUUGGGUGUACGGCCAAGCAGGUACAGGUGGGGGGUCCAUUGGGUGUACGGCCAAGCAGGUACAGGUGGGGAGUCCAUUGGGUGUACGACCAAGCAGGUACAGGUGGGGGGUCCAUUGGGUGUACGACCAAGCAGGUACACCCUGGUGCAGACGUGUUUUUGAGCAUCACGACUUUUGCGGCUGCAUGGGAGUUUGAGAACUGCCUUG
rnacentral:lncRNA from 1 species